CAAUAAAUUCAUAUUUAUUACUACUAAUAAGUAGCAUUGGAUUCCAUCAUAAUUCCAUGGUUAAGUGCAUCUAAGCUAGAGUAGUAUUGGGAUGUGUGACCUCUUGACGAGUCCUAGUGUUGC
rnacentral:rRNA from 1 species